ensembl:lncRNA
CGGAAACAGUCACAUAACUCUGGCAGGAGGGAAUGAGGUCAAUCCACAACCCUCCAACUUAACGCACAUCGUCUGUUGCAGAGGGGUUAGGAUUUCACUUUUUUAUUGUAUUUUGAAGGCCUAUCGGACGCUCUGUUGAGAUUUGAUUUUUGUGACCGAUACGUGAACAGUAUUGAUGUUUUGAGUGUUCCCAAAGAGAGAGACAUUACAUCACAACAAUUUGUCAGGUCAAUUCUUGCCACAUGUUUCUUUCCUGUAAAGGUCCACUUAGAUUACAGAUGGAAGCAAAGGUUGUUCAGUUUACAUUUUAAGGACAUUGCACGGUGAGGGAAGGAGCUUAACAACAACGUGGCAUCAGCGGCUAAGUUGACCUGAGGGGCCAGUCAAGUCCUCCCAUAAUGCAGAGCUCUGUGGCCUCUUGCCUUCUGUCACCCUAUCACCUCGGAACCUGGGAUUUUCUGGAAAAGUGGGGCUUCUGGACUGACUCAUCGGACAGCUGUACCUUAAAGGGCCUCACGGGGGCAUCGCCUCCAGGGUCACUACUCUGGGCUGUGAUUUGACGGCCAGGCACAAAUAAAACCCCCUGAAGCUUGACAACUUCCUCGCUGAGCCCACGUAACCCAAUUAGGGAACCGUCCCACAGUCGGAGAAAAUGAAAACAUUCCGGAGCCAUAUUCCCGGGACGGCCGUGGUCGUUUAUUUAAUCCAUUUCUUUUUUCGCCCUCUUCCAGAGAUUUUUCUUGGACUGAUUUCAAUGAUCCAUCAAGGAGUGACUCAACAACUCAAAUACCAGUGGGCUGCAAAUAUACUAAACUCCUGUCUGCGCUGAAUCCAGAGACAAGUACCUCACAUCGUUACGUUAACCCACGGCUAUCUUUUGAAAGGAUAUCCAGAUACUGAGGUUGCCUCAGCUGGGCGGGUGCUGAAAGCCUAUACGUUACCCAGAGUGCAGUGCAGGAUGCGGGGCGACUGCAGAUGCUGCCGGCUGAAGGCAAAGACAAAUGGACGAAUCAACGCUCCAGCAGAAGGUCCUAUUGAUUGAUAAAGCACCCUGUGGAUUGGGCUGUGAAUUGUUAGCCCCCCAUAGUGUGUUUUUUUUUUUUGUUUUUGUGUGGGAUACCAGACUGCUGCCCCGAAGGCCCUGAACAAUACAGACAAGCAGAGAAAGACAGCAGAAUCAAUGACUGUCUCACUCAGGGCUCUAGUAUGUUCUUACGAAUCAUCUAAAGUGGCUCCCUUGGCGCCUACCUCUGCCUACCUCCACUGAAUACCACAACAAGAUUUGUUAAAGACACCACCGUUCAAGGAGGAACGGCAAGCAUCUUCUGCAGGGAACCAAUCAAUGACUGAAGACAGAUGAAUUCCUCUAAAAAAUAAAGACAAUUUGGCUGUUAGAAAAGCAACUCGGACACAACGAAAGACCACAAAUUGCAUCCAGCGAAAGACGAGGACGAUGAGGAAUGCGUGUGAUGAAGGCUACAUUUGUCUAUUGAGACAAGGCCCAGGACCCAAGUGUCUUCUCUCUCCCUCGUGGGCGACUGACAGAGCCAGAUAGGCCUCUUCACUGCUGACAGCCAAUGUCCUCAUCCAUCCUCAUCCGAGAGACCAACCCCGCCUAGAUUUCCCCCGACGAAACCCCCAACGCAGAAAUCCCUCGCCCCAAGCUCAGCAAAGGGCCCGGAGCUGGGAGUGUCCCCGCGGCGCCUCUGUCAAUAUGUCAUCAUCGUCAUAGCUGCCAGUUGGCAGCAGAGUAACCCACCGCAGUUGUGUCAGCAAAACAGUCUCCAUUUUAUUAGUAUUUCUUUCCACUGAAUAUCCAUCGCGGGACACACACUUCUUCUCAGUAUUCGCAGACAGGGUCAUAACUCAAGCGGCCCGUGAUGUGCUUCCCACUCCUGUGACGGGGAGGUAUUUGUGAUGAUGAACGGACACAGGGGGGGAAGCGUUUGUUUUUUCGCAGGAGGCGGAGGGGGGUGGGGGGGGGUGGGGGGACUCGUCGUCGGGCGGAGCCGCACGCAGCAAGCAGACGUAAGCACUUGUGGUCCGAUGUGGCCGUGCUGACAACACAACUUUGGGCCUCGUUUGGAGAACAAACCGGCAUUUUAAUGGGAUGGUACACCUUGAGUACGAAUGAAGCAUGUGAAUUAUUUAGUUUCAUCUGUGUGUGUGGAGCUAAAUGUGAUGCUUUAGCGAUAGAAGACAAACUUUUAAAUAUUUUCUUUGUAAGAGAAAAGACCAUAAAUGUCCAUAAAAGAGCUGCAUGAGAAAAGCUUCUGCGGCUUCAAACCAGGAUAAACUUAUUUUUCAUGUCACCAUCCAUCCUCCACUGCAAGCUAAGUGUGAUGCGCAAUACUAGUCCACAGCAGCAUCCUCACACAAGAAAUUAACAGUACUUAUUCAUUUAGAGCAGAAAGUGCACUUUAAAUGUAAAGCACUUUGCUUAAAUCCAGGAAAUCAUCGCACUAUUAAAGCAAUUUGGAGAACAGCAUCAUACUUAGAGGAACAUUUCUGGGCUUCAUACAAAUAGGCUUGACAGUCAUUUUACUGCCUUUAGUGAGGGUCCCAGAGAAAGUGACAGGGGGAAAUUGGGGCAAAUAAAGUCAGAGGAAGAGGAAUUUCUCUUCAUGGUAAAAUUGGGAAUGAUGUCAUGAAUUAAUUCUGCGCGUCGAGGAGGAGAUCAUAACAAGUCUACAGAUGAUGCCUGGACAUUCACUAAACUGCAGCGUAAUGCACAGCUAAUAUGGGAUGAGAUUGCUCUGAGAUUUCAUUUUGGGGGCAGCAGCGGUAAUGGCAGAGAUGAUGAUCACGACUGCAUUACAGGCAAUUUGAUUUAAAACGUAUGAGACAUUUUGCGCAACGUCCCAUGAGAUGUAAACACAUAAAAUAUUUCCUCUGGCUUUGAGGCACACAGAUAUUUGCAUUAAAUAUGUUCUAACAUUGAUUUGUAUUGAGUUUAGACCAGCGCUCUGCAUUAUGGGUUGACCGAUUCAGGUUCGUCACGUGUGAGGGGAUGAGUACAUUAACGAUAUUUGUUUCUUUUUUUGUUACAUUGUUUUAAUGGAUAUUGAAGUCUGCAUUAACAAGGUCAGAUACAAAUAACAAACUCUGCUGGCAGUUAUUGGUUGAAAAGAUCCUCCUGCACCACCACCAGCCGUCUGCACUGGAUGAUCUGAAAAAAACAAACUUGCAUAAAUCAAAGCCUCUUUGUUGGAAAAAGAGAUGGACUGUUAUUUGCAUCCUUUUUUUCUUUCAAUUUGUCUGAUAUAAAGUCGAACGUCCUUCCCGCCUCCAUAAAUCCUGAGACACUAACAAAGUGAAGGAGCAUCCAAAUCAGCUCAUUGCAGCGGCAGUCGAUGGCCGCUCUCUCAAGGACGCUGAUUGACGUUUUAUACAGCUUCUGCAGGUUAGUGAUAUUGAUGGCAUUCAAUUGAACUGUAUAUUCUUUUAAUAAGGGAGCUGCCAGAUGCCUGUGGCUUUCAAAGUGCUCUUUAAGAGACAGGGAGUUGCGGAGAAAGGGAAGGAGACACAAAGAAGGUCAGGAUUAAGUGAUGUGCUUUCUCCAAAGCAAUUAUUUUAAGAUAGUAGCUUUUUUUUACUUGGCUUGGUUAAUGCUGUUGUCAGAUAGAGACACAUUUUAUCAUUUGGCUCCGAACAUGGCAUUAGAUUUGUAAUGAAACAAAGGCUUUUAGGUUGAAGUGCUUACUGUCGGCUUUAAUGUGACGGUGUUAUAUCAACAUCAGAAAGAAUUAAGAUAGUUGACUUUACUGGAAGAGAAUGUAAUUAUGUUCUUUGCAAUUAAUAAUGUCCUGUAAACAUACGGUAUCUUCCAUGCCGGGUCAAAUCUCUACUUGUUGCUUGUUCAGGGACAUUUUGCCUUCAGUUUGCUCAUCAGCAAACUGUCAUUUCAUUAUGUGAACCUUGCUGGCAAUAACUGUUAGAUACUUGAAGACUUUGAAUGAUGAUCAUUGCAGUGUAUCCAGAGCCACAAAAGAUUCAACGUGUUGAAAGGCAUCUUUAUCCUCGGCUGACUCUCCAAUAGGUUCUGGGCCACAACAUCUAUUCCCAGCCAUGUUUUAUUAAUCCAUCUGCAUCCUGAAAACUAGGCCAGUCACCCAGAGGCCGGACUAUCCACUUGUCCUCUGUACAGAGGCUGUUGUAUUUUUAUUUUUCAUACUCAGGUCAAAUGCACAAUCGUUUUUGUAAUAAGAGCUGCCCAUCAGGGGGCAAUCUGCCAAAAGGACUGUGCACUUUUUAUUUUGCUAACAGUAGUUAGUAAAAUAGUUUGCCAUCAGUUUCUAAGUCUCUUGCCUCCAAACAAUAGCAAAAGGCCGCUUUAGUUAAUAGGACUCUCCAAUGUCCUCUCCCUCUCCCAUCCCCUUUAUGAAUGCCAACGGGGCAUCGACUUAGUCUAGACGUUGGACCACACAGGGCGCCGCGGGUCACCCACAGUCUGAGACACUGCCGUGUGCGUGCUGCUCAGCCUGUGUGCACCAAGCCACUUACACGACAGGCAAAGGGGAUCCAUGUGGCACACAUGUGCUCCACGUGGCUCUCACAGAACGAGAAUGUGUGUGAGAUGCCCCCCCCUGCACCGCCCCAUGGGUACACAGAAUCUGUGGCAGUAUCACCGGCGAUGGCUACUGCUUUAAUUAAAGCCCUAAUGAUAGGCUUUCAACUGGGAAGCUUACUUAUCAUCACACAUAAUCGCUCGGUGCUAGUUAGCGCUGGCAGAAUAGCAACCAUCUGCUCUGCUGAGCACACAUUCUGAUCAUUCUUUAUAUAGCUGUGGUAGGUCACUUACAGUAUUUAUAAUAGGAGGCCCCCAUUAUGUAAAAGUCUGUUUAAACGUUGUACAUUAAUGGGGCACAUCUGUGGUAGUGGCGCUUGGAUCAGCAACACAAAUGAGUAGCCAAAUAUCCUCAUUUUAGUAAUAUAUAGUAAUAUGAAGACAGCAUGCUGUCGGUGAUUCAGGGAUGGAUAGAAUAUAAUGGCUAGAAUAUUUAUCUUUUUUGUCUUGUCAUUUGCUUGUUUUCUUCUUCUCUCCUGCCUUUAAACGGUUUUUGCAAUGAGGAUUUAAAAUGUCUUGUGUGUCCUUCCAAACUUUUUUUGGACUAAAAAUCCCCCAUUUAAUAAAACAAGUUAUAUUUGAUACGUUUUUGCAAAUUCCUGUAGCAUUAGUUACCUUUGGAAGGAGCCAAAAGCUUAAACAAUGACAAUUUUCCAAAGAAGAUAAACAAGCAUGGCGUGUUGGUUAAGAACUAGAUAUUUGAUGAGUUGUCAAAGUGAAUAACAUCCUAUUUGGUAAAGAAAUAAUUUGGCUUUAAAUUACAGCACAUUACCUGCUGUAAAAACAGCAUUAGAAAAAGUCAUUUGCAAAGCUCCACAUCACAUUUAUUUCUAUGAAUUCAAAAAGCACGUUUUAGUGAUUUAUCGUUUUUCUUAAUGCGUGAUUGAUUGACUCAAACUAAAUUACUAAGCUACAACAGACUGUUUUCACACUUUCAUUAGAGCGCGAUCCUUUUCGUGCGCUCAGCUACGAGAUUUACUUCACCAACAAAUCAAUCCGAGGUCAAAUAAGGAGCACUUAGGGAUUAUUUUCUAGCUCUGAGAUACAGUCAGUCUUGCUGACAGAAAAGCUGCACUCUAAGAGCUGAUGUAAUUCCCCCUCCGUGUUGGUUGCCUGAAAUGCUUUGUUGAAGAAAAAAAAAAAAAAGCUCUGCUUUUGGCGCAGCAAAGUGAUGAGAGCAGCUCGCCUCCACUGAUGUAAAUCCUGCCUCUGUUUACCGAGGGUUCCUGAUCAAAGGAAGGAAGGAAAGGAGAGAUUUAAGGACAUGAAAAAAAAUGGAAGUUGCAGACUUGCAAAGCCGAGUCUCUUUAGUUGUGUGUCUGAGGGGUGCAGCGGGGUUAGGUUGGUGUGUGGCAGGUCAAUGCAGCGGUCUAAUGGCCUGCAUUAAACUGAGAAGAUAAUAACGUUUUGGUUUUUAUUCUAUGUCUCGAUAAUUUGUCUGGUCCGCGUCAGGUUUGCCCUGUGGGGCGACAUCUCCCUCCCUUUUGCUCCUCCUCUUGGUGCUUCUCUUGCUCCCAGCUGAAAGUGAACAGAGGAUGACGCAAAUAAAAAAGGUUUACUGUCCGCGGUGUUCGACAACCCUGCGGGGCUCUUUUAAUCAUUCCUGCUUCAUUGACUGGAUAUCUGUUAUCAUUUUGUGUCUCUCUUUUGCAGAGGAUGAGCCAGGUGGAGGUUUACGUGGUAGGAAUCAAUUUACCUGAAACAAAAAACGUUUUUCUUCUCGAGCCCAGCAGAAUAACAUUGAACAAAUCAAACUUUUGGACCUUAAAGCAGUUUCACCGAGCCUCAGCAGUUGGAAAACUGCCUGUCAGGCACAGAUGUGCACUCAUCACAGCAUCAUGACAGAAAACUGUAAAGAACAGCUUUAGAGAUUUGCUGUGGUUCCAUUAAUCUACAGAAUUUUUUGCGGUGCCGGAAGGAAAGAAAGUGCUGACCGCGGCCAGGCUGUAUUUUAUUAAAAAGUAGCUCCAAGCGUUCAAACAACACAGUUGUGUAAUAGUUGGGAUUAUUCUGAAUAUUGGAAAAAAAUGUAACUUUUUCUUAUUGUCAAAUAUUUUCCAUGUGCACCACUUAUGAUGCCAAAACUGCGCUCUUUGGUUCCACUGUAAGGAAUAAAGUUGUGGCAGCGGUUUAAUAUUCUAAAAUCAGGAGUCAAACCUGAAACCUCUGAUCUCCAAUCAUUGAUCCAUGAUGCCGACUGACUGAUUUCACCCACUUACUAUGGGGGUGCGCUAUACAAAUAAAAUUGCCUUGCCUUACUAUGUUUUAUUUUUCCCUUUUUUUUGAAGACUUUACUUGGAAUCUCAGAUUUCUUUUCCAGUUUGCCGUACUGAAUCUGAUGUAAUAUUUACAAACGUUUAUUAGGAAAAAAACUGGGGAGUAAAUCCAUUGUGUUUUUACAGAUCAUCUGUGGUUACUUUCAUCCAGUCGAGCGCUAAUCUCACGUGGAUGAUUCGCUUAGAUCUCCUCCGGCCAUCCGGCCACGUGAUGCUCUGAUUCAUACGUGUGCUUCCUCAUGAGCCGUGACAUGGACCACAACCAUCGGCCUUCAAGGCCGCCUCUUGUGUCAUGACAGGCAAUUGACUGUGUGUGAUCUCCCUGUUCCCUCCUGCAGAACUGCCGAUACGAUCAGAGCUGGGGAGCAGAUGCGAGGCUGGGAAACGGUGGCAGUUCACUGGAGUUGAAUUGUACCCCGGAGAGGAGGAAGUGAAGUUUUUCUAUCAGAUGGAAAGAUCAGAGGAGACGGAUAAUUCAGUAAUCACAUCUCCAGCGAUUAGGGGGGACAGGAGGCGGGUUGCCGAUAAGGAACUGUGGGCUUCACGGACGUUCUGUUCGGUUAAUAGGAAACCGAAAAAGACUCAACGCCUUAUUUUCCCAGUGGUAUCUGCUUCUUUUAUCACACCACUUUAUGAUUUCUCACCUUGUCUCAUUGGGUCGUCUGAUCUCAUCUCAUUUACUAAAGGGUCGGUGAACCUGUCAGCGAAUCAAAACCAACUUCUGUGUGUGCUUCAUCUGGGUACGGUUGUAUCUUCUCAUCUCGUCUCAUUCCUGAUGACUUACAUUAGUUUUUUGACCCAUCUCGUCCUCAUAAUCCUGUUUCAUUCAUGCGGUAACAGAUGAAAACAACGCCCAGGCCUAUAAAAAAUGAUCUUUUUGGUCAUGUUUUAUUCUCCAAAGAAAUGUCAACAUCCUGAGUAAGACAGCCUAACCCAAGGGACAAUAGUAGAAAUUGUUUAAAUAUAAAUCCUGGUGCUCCUUCUGUCACGGUUUGGGUUUGUUUCCUUUCUUAUUUUGUAGUUUUCUGCCUCUUGUGUCCCUGGGUAACUUCACUUCCUGCCUUGUCCUGUCAUCCCCUGUGAUUGUCUGAUUGUUUCCACCUGUGUCCAAUCACCUGCACCUGCACCAUGUGUAUUUAAGUCAUGUGUGUCGCUUGUCCCUUGUCGCUCAUUGUUGACUGUUUUGGAUGUUCCUGUCUGCAUUUUUUGCCCCUGGCCCUUUUGGAUUUUGACUAUUAAAGUCUUUUUGUUUUUGAAAGUCUGCGUUUGAGUCCUGCCUUCUCUGUCUGAACAAGACUUUUCAAGGAUUACUCAUAUUUUUCCACCUGAUGAACACUCCAUAUCCUGACAUCAUAUCUGUAAGUCACAAACCGUUGUCAAUGCCACCUGACGAGCAUGACGAGUCCUCUGACUCUCUCUAUCCAAGUGGGUAAAAGCCUGACGUGUAUAUGUGCACACGGACACACAAGCGCACCAUGUCUUGUUGGCCUGUGAGAUCUUAUCACGGACAUUGAAAUGAGAUGAGACAAUGUGAGUAUCUGCUUCCUGUGUUUGUGUGUGGUUGGGAUGCAUGGGUCUCAUGCAGUAUCAUGUUAAAGUUGAGCGUCUGCUGUCUGCAGAGUCGCCGUAGUUUUAAUUUGAUGCUUUUAUUUUGAAGGCUUGUAAAGUAUGUAAAAUCUUGAUAGAUUAAAUUAAGAAGACAUAAUAUUGCAAAUAAUGCAAAUCUUUUAAGAGAAAUUUAAUUUGCAUUAUUUGCAAUAUUAUGUCUUAAUUUAAUUUAAAAUCAAGCAUAACAUGAUAAAACAAAUCUGAUCUCACGUGUUUCAACAGUGUUUACCCGUUACGACAGCAGGGGCUGUAGGGCGGCGAUCUGGGCUGUAACGUCCACCAUGUGUGGUCACACCCACGUGCACUGACUUAUUCUGAAGGGAUACGCGGCUGGCUCUGCUCCAGGUGACAACACAGAGGACGAGGGACUGUAGGUGCGUUUUAUAUUCAAUCAUCGUUUUUCUGCUACAUCAAUGCUCUGAAUUGCGCAGUUUCCAUAUUUAGAGGUGAUUUAUAAAUUUAAUCUACACCAAUUGCUGGGGUACUUGUUGCGCAGCGGAACUUGACCUUUGCAGGGAACCGAUGAGGGAGGUUUCCCCAAAGGGAUGAGUGAAUUCUAAUUUCAUUAGCAUCCCAAACCUCACGGAGUGAAUGAUGCAGUUAGUCAUUGCUCUUCUUUUCCACUGAUGAUGACGUUUUCAAAACAGACCACAGCUGUGUGGAUCUCCCAAGUGAAUCCUACACAACUCUGGGCUUGGACAAGGGCCGAUGAUGAUAACUGGCUUGCAUUAUGUCCUUUACAGUAUUGUCACCAUGGAUACAAGACUUGGGAGUCAAACACAGAAGAGUGGUGGUCACUAAUACUUUUUAAUCAAGUCUCCCUGAAAGCUCAUAUUUAUGAUUACAUCCAUCCAGAAAAAAUAUCACCUCGCCUGUUUUUGGUAAAAUGAUCGGGGGAAACCAUUUAACAAUGUUCCUAGUUCCUAAACAGUGCUCCUAAUUGUACAUCGGCUCGAUGACUUGAAAUCUAGAAGUGUGUCGACACAUAGCGCAAACUCCUUUUUCACUUUGCUUUACCUGCAAGUUGUGCUGCCAUGCAAAUGCCCCUAACAAAUCUGUCCCAUAGGAACUUCCUUUCUGCUUACUACUUUCCUUCAAAGUUGCAAAAACAAAAUAUUACUGAAAGGAAAACCAUUUGGGGAGCUUUUUUCAGCAAAUCAAGUAGCGACUAUUUCAAUGUAUCCUCCAACAGUUUCAAAUGACAUCCUGUAAGAAGCCCGGUAACACUCGUAACUUGCGCGCUUACUUGAAAAAAUUUGUAAAGAUGAAAUGAGUUUUAAAUAUUAUUUAACUCCUCGACAUCUCCUUCGUUUCUCACUUACUGACCAUUUAAAUCGUAUUUUGACAGCAAGUUGUUUGUGUUCAAUAAUAAUGACCUUGAUAAUCUACCAAUCCAUUUGGCAAGAAUAAGCAAAUACAUGUUGGAUUAAUAAACUAUCACCAGUGAACACUGGCCGCCAAAGAUCAAGAGUCACAAACCUUAUUGAACCAACUUUAACUUCACUUUAAAACAUCUUAACCUACUUAAGAUGUUUGCCAGAUAUAUUCCGUAUUAACAUGUAGGCUAUGAAGAAGAAAAACUUAAUCCAGGGCCUCUCCUUGGAUGUCCUCGUCCCUCAUCUCUCUCUCGCGUAUCUUUGGGUGUUUUAAUGUUUCCCUGACUGCUGCUAUAACAUGAAUUUGUCAUUGCGUUCACCGCACCCAUGAAACAACUAAUAGAAAGAAAUGAACUGUGCAAACUCAAGGGGGGGAUUGUGACAGUUGGAGGGGAG